GGAGAGGUGCCCGAGCGGCCGAAGGGACGCGACUGGAAAUCGCGUGUCCCCCUGAACGGGGGACCGAGGGUUCGAAUCCCUCCCUCUCCG
rnacentral:tRNA from 1 species